rnacentral:rRNA from 1 species
CAGUAGCCGCGGGAAUACGUAGGGUGCAAGCGUUAAUCGGAAUUACUGGGCGUAAAGCGUGCGCAGGCGGUUCGCUAAGACAGAUGUGAAAUCCCCGGGCUUAACCUGGGAACUGCAUUUGUGACUGGCGGGCUAGAGUAUGGCAGAGGGGGGUAGAAUUCCACGUGUAGCAGUGAAAUGCGUAGAGAUGUGGAGGAAUACCGAUGGCGAAGGCAGCCCCCUGGGCCAAUACUGACGCUCAUGCACGAAAGCGUGGGGAGCAAACAGGAUUAGAUACCCGGGUAGUCCCUGUCUCUUAUAC